rnacentral:ribozyme from 14 species
CCAAAAUAGUUUUAAGCAAUGAAAAAAAAAAAAAAAAAAAAAAAAAGGAGACUCGGACA